CACGCUGUAAACGAUGAAUGCUAGGUGUGGGGGCGCAAGCUUCCGUGCCGGAGUUAACACAAUAAGCAUUCCACCUGGGGAGUACGGCCGCAAGGUUGAAACUCAAAGGAAUUGACGGGAGCCCGCACAAGCAGUGGAGUAUGUGGUUUAAUUCGACGCAACGCGAAGAACCUUACCAGGAUUUGACAUCCCGGGAACCCGGCGUAAUGGCUGGGGUGCCCCUUCGGGGGAAUCCGGAGACAGGUGG
rnacentral:rRNA from 1 species